UACGGAGGGAGCUAGCGUUGUUCGGAAUUACUGGGCGUAAAGCGCACGUAGGCGGCUUUGUAAGUUAGAGGUGAAAGCCCGGGGCUCAACCCCGGAAUUGCCUUUAAGACUGCAUCGCUUGAAUCCGGGAGAGGUGAGUGGAAUUCCGAGUGUAGAGGUGAAAUUCGUAGAUAUUCGGAAGAACACCAGUGGCGAAGGCGGCUCACUGGACCGGUAUUGACGCUGGAGGUGCGGAAAGCGUGGGGAGCAAACAGG
rnacentral:rRNA from 1 species